rnacentral:pre_miRNA from 1 species
UGUCCUGGUCAGGUUGGGAGGGGUGUCAGUGCUGUUACUCUGAAGGUAUUGCACUUGUCCCGGCCUGUUUAGGAUUG